rnacentral:rRNA from 1 species
GAUCCCAUCAGAACUCCGCAGUUAAGCGUGCUUGGGCGAGAGUGUAGUACUAGGAUGGGUGACCCCCUGGGAAGUCCUCGUGUUGCAUCCCUGGAUGCGAUCAUACCAGCACUAACGCACCG